rnacentral:rRNA from 1 species
CGGCGUCACGAGUGGCAAUCACGUUUAUUGGGUCUAAAGCGUUCGUAGCCGGUUUAGUAAAUCUUUUGUGAAAUUGUCGGGCUUAACUUGACAACGUGCAGAAGACACUGCUAAACUAGAGACCGGGAGGGGUCAGAAGUAUUUCGGGGGGAGCGGUAAAAUGUUAUAAUCCCUGAAAGACUACCAAUGGCGAAGGCAUCUAACCAGAACGGAUCUGACGGUGAGGAACGAAGGCUAGGGGAGCGAACCGGAUUAGAUACCCGAGUAGUCC